AAACCCCGCUCAGUUCGGAUUGGAGUCUGCAACUCGACUCCAUGAAGCUGGAUUCGCUAGUAAUCGCGCAUCAGCCAUGGCGCGGUGAAUACGUUCCCGGGCCUUGUACACACCGCCCGUCAAGCCAUGGGAGCCGGGAGUGCCUGAAGUGCGUGACCGCAAGGAGCGUCCUAAGGCAAUACCGGUGACUGGGGCUAAGUCGUAACAAGGUAUC
rnacentral:rRNA from 1 species